CGCCAGGAGAGUUUAUAAACAAAUACAGAUCUUUGGUAUCAUUCUCUAUACUGAGAUAUACCAUAAGACCAAUAAGUUGAUUCGAGAUCUCGCUAUCAACCUCUUGGCCUAAAAAAAGUAAUCUUUCUCGAUAAAGUCGGUUGAUUAGGAUAAAAUUGUAUCCCUUAGUAGCCGUACAGGCACCUUUUGAUGCAUACGGUUCAACAAAAAUUGCGAAAAAAAAAUCAAUGUGUAGAUUCCAGCCAUCCUUCGUUUUUUCUAGUGUGCCUUUUCUAACUUCUAAUUUCUAACGAAGGGGCUUUUUCUUCCAUUUUUUAAAUAAAAUGAAAUUAAAGAAAGAUAAGUUUUGGCCCGUUUUCCUAUAAUCUAUAAUAUAGAAAAAUUCGCUAAACUUAUCGCACAAACUUUUCAUUGAUCUAUUUUUUUUUCAUUGGGAUUCAAUCCAAAUCACGAUGUCAUUUUCUUGUUCCUGAAUGGGUUUCAUCAAUUUUUUAUUCAAUUUUUUUAGGUUUAUGCUCUACUCCGAGUAAAGAUCCGCCCGAUUUUGAUUUGCGCAUAUAGGACAAAUGACCCAAUACCACAUCUUUUUGCUAUGAUUUCAUUUCCUUUUUUAUUUUAAUUCCUUUUUCUUUCAUGUUUUCCGCCAAAUAUUCAACGUAUUUCUCAUAUUAUUCGAUUGAUUAAUAGUUUGAAAUCGUUCUUAUUUCUAUUUCGAAUUUGUAAAUAAAAAAGAUUUAUGAUUAUGAUAUAGGUGGUAAUCAUAAAUGUAUUACCAAUUGGGUUUUUUCUAAACGGAGCCUGGAUGCUUCAUUUUUUCGGUCCAACCAAGCCAACCAUAAAUCAUUCUAAUUGAAAAUAUUAAUCUGGAUACCCCCCAAAAAAAAUGAAAUGGAUCUCUAAUUGCACUUCAUUACACUUCACGCUACAAAUUUUUGAUAAUUCAAUCAAUCUUUUUUGGGCGAAACAGAGGAUAUCUCGAUCGGGCGAGAGAACGGGGGAAUCCCAUAUGACCCAAUAUAUUUGACAAGUCGCACUAUACGUCAACCCAAACUGCAUCUUCCUCUCCCGGAUUUCGAAAAGGAACUUUUGGAACACCAAUAGGCAUUAAAGGAAAGAAAAAGAAUUAAAUACUAUAUUUCACUUUGAUCUGGAAGCGUAAUAAUGGUCUUAAUAAUAUUGGCCUCAUAUUUUAUACAUAGAUAGAAUAAGGCCAUAAAAUAAAGAAAGACAGAAUGAAUGAAAGAGAAUUCUUACCAAUAGGUCCUUUGAAUGAUGAACAAAUAGGGAUACGUUCAUUCAUAAAAAAUAGGAUCAACC
rnacentral:lncRNA from 1 species